GGGGAUGAUCGGUUUCGACAUUGCCUGAGCAACUGUGAGAAGCGGGUCGAGGAUGCAGGGUUAUCUCGUUAACGAUCUCUGCAAAAUAUAAGUGCCAAUUCAAAGCGCACUGACUUCGCCCUCGCUGCCUAAGCGAGCGCACUAAAGAAGUCCGUCGGUCCGGGAAUGCUCUCUACCCGGUCACCGGCGCAAUCUUAGAGAGCUUGUUCCGUCGUUCCGCCUUGGGGCGCCGGGAGACUUAAACCAGGGCUGGGCUUGUCGGAUUAGGUGCCAGUGGCAAAUUCCGGAGCCGAGUAGAACGAUUUCACUGGAUACACCCGUAGAAGGCACAGAAACACAGCAGUGGACGGGGGUUCAAUUCCCCCCAUCUCCACCA
rnacentral:tmRNA from 1 species